rnacentral:misc_RNA from 1 species
UGUCAUAUACUUUUAGUUUACUAUAUCAAUAGUCUGAAGGUCAUUGUAACGUAUUAGACAAGAAUCUAUACUCAAUUUGUUUUUAGUUUGAGUUAGUUCCAUGUAAACCUCGAAGCUGUGAAGAAGUAUAAGUAAGUGAGAAGUUACGCGUGCAUUCUUGUGAUAUUCUUUUAAAAUCAAAGUGAAUAUUUGCUGAUUCUUCUAAUAUGGAUAGAAAAGGUUCGAGGAAAAGUCCUCAUCGUCCAGGCAAACCAAGAAAACGGAAGUUCAGCGGUAAUCAACAUACUUUGGAAGAAGAUUUAUCUUUUACUAGUGCAUCAGCUGCAAAGUUGAAGAGUUCAAAUGACGAUGAAAUUCUCAUUGACUAUAAUUUUGGUUAUUGUAUAUUGGAAUUCUGUUCUGUUUUUUCAUCUCUUGCACUAAUGAUAAUAUGUGCUACAUGUAAGCAAAAAAUGUAAUUUUCUCGGACAGCUGCACGAGGACUAGGAUUUAAAAUUGGAGUACAAUGUGGCUGCAAAGAUACAUGUUAUAUUGAGUCAUGCCCAUUUGUAAAUAAAGCAUUUGAAAUAAAUCGUCGGAUCGUUACUGCUAUGAGGCUCAUCGGAGUUGGGAGAGAAGGUAUCAAUAUAUUCUGUAGUAUUAUGGAUAUUGGACACGGUUUGGCUAUUGGUACAUACUAUAAUUGUCUUGAUAAUUUAAAUUUGGCUGCGUCAACUAUUUAUAACUUGAUAAUUUCUAAAGCUGUGAAAGAAGAGAAUGAAUUAAUUACAGCCUCAGAUUCGAAUGCGGACCCUACACAUUUUACAGUUUCCAGCGAUGGAACGUGGAAGAAGAGAGGGUUCAAUUCACUUUUUGGAGUCACUACACUUGUAGGUAAAUACAGUAAGAAAGUUAUAGACACAGUCGUGAAGUCCAGUUUUUGCCAAGGGUGCAAUUAUUGGAAGAAUAAAAAAAAAGACGACAUCAGUACUUAUGAAGACUGGUAUAACGAACACGAAGAUUCUUGCGCAAUAAAUCAUCAAGGAAGUGCUGGGAAGAUGGAAGUUGACGCAGUGGUGGAAAUGUUUAGUAGAUCCGAAGAAAAGCAUGGAGUAAAAUAUGUGAAGUAUAUCGGAGAUGGCGACUCAAAGACUUUUAAAAGUAUUCUUAAUAUGGAUCCUUACAAAAGUAACCCUGUUGUUAUUAAAAAAGAAUGUGUUGAUGAUUCUUUAUUAGAACGUUGCUUGGGCAGCGAAACUCAAAAUAACAACGAGUCACCUAACUCUUUAAUAUAGACAUUUGCACCCAAACAUAUCCAUGCCGGGUCCCAGACAAUUGAGAUUGCUAAUUGUUUAGCAGUUUGCAUUUUCAAUGAAGGCUUUUAUCCUAUUUUACAAAUAAUGAGUCUAAUGGGAAUAAAAAUAGGUCUGGAAUCCCAUGGGUUUGCUGUUAGGCGCAACGCAGUAAGGAUUGAACGGUCUGAGGUUCGAGCUUCAGAUGCUUCAAAAGAGGAAAGAACUGCUCGUUAUACAGAGAGAAAUGCUGAAAACAGUCAAUAUGAAGUAGAGGAAGGCCAAAUGUAUGAAGCUGGGAUGGCUGAUUAAGAGAAUAUGGAUACAAAGGGAGAAAUCCUUUUCACGAGGACACGGCCUUUUUUUUCUCUACUUCAAGGACAUAUCUUUUUGAAAAUUUAUU